CACUCCAGCUUGGUCAACAGAGGGAGACCUUCUCUCAAAAAACAAACAAACAAACAUACAAACCUCUGUCUUCCUUAACUCUCAGAAUUUUUAUGGCAACCAAUGAGAUGAUAUUAAAGUACUUUUUAUAGUAUAAAGUGCUAUGCAAAGUGAGAAAAAAAGAUGCCUCUAUUCUUAUAGAAAGUCAAUGGCAAUUUUAUGACUAUCUUGCUUGGAAGAACAGCUUGACGUGCAGUUUUCUUAAAAGACAAGGAUAACAUGAAUCAAUGACAAAGACUCUAAACUGGGAAUCAAGACACAUGCUAUUGAAGCCAGUGAUGGUACUGGCUUUUCACUCUGGUUACAGGGCCUUUCUUUCCUUUUUUAUCCCCUGUACCUUUUACAUAUUCGUAUAUACACACACAUACAUACAUGUAUAUAUACACACACACAAAGACACACAUAUACUUGCUAAACUGGGAGUUCCUUAAAAGGGUAAGGACCAUAUUUUACACAUUUAUAAACUACCAUUAAGGCCUAGCACAAAACCAAUAUAGAAAAACAACCAAUGAAUGUCUGUUUUACUCAUGGUUUUUAAAUUUAGCUACACAUUUGGAAUAACUUGAGAUGAUUUUUUUUCUAAAUACCAAAACCAAACCCAUCUCACACGGCUGAGAAAUGCCAAUUUUGGUUUUGCUUUUGCUUUUAAUUGAGGCUUGGUCUCCUACUAAAUUGGGAUAAAAGUGAUAAAAGUGACUGGUUUGCUUUCAGUAUGACUAAAGUGAAUAUAAGUGUGAAAUAAAAGGGAUCAAGUAAAGGUUUGAAACUUUUAAUGCAUUAAGCACAUUUGUAGUAUAAAUGUUAAUUAUAAUUUUUAAAAUGGCUUAAUACUGUCCUCGAAAGGUCUCUAUAAAUCUAACGUCAUUUUACAAUAAAAGGUUUAAAACUGGCUAAUAUAGGAGGCAGUAGUUUCUUAAGCAAAGAUUCACAUUUUUCACAGCAAUCCCAAGUUACUGACUGACUGUAUCAUCUUGGCUUUUCAGAUAUAGCACAGAUAUAAAGAAAUAGGCAAUUUCUGGGAGAGUAUAAAUAAAAUUUAAGCAUCAAUAUGCAAAUCAUUGGCUCCACAGUCAUUUCAGUUGUCCCCCAGUAUCAUAAAUUACCCGCACGCUGCCCUCCAUGAAGAAGCACCUGCAGCUACUCCUCCUGAGAGGCCCAUCUUCUGACCAAUCAUUUGUUUGCAGGUGACCUUUUUAGUAUCUUCUCUCAGCAUUCUUCUGCAUGUCAGCAGUGACCCAGUGACACCAUUCCCAGGAUUUAUAAUAAGUUUUCAUGAUUCUGAACCCUUGCUCAUGCUGUGUUCAACAUCAACAAUGCCGUUUACCUCUCUUCACUUUCUACCAAGCCCUAUAUUUUUAUAUUGUCCCAGCUCAAAUGUCUCUAACUCUGUGAACAUUUCCCUAACUCCUCCAAAGAAGAGAAGCUUAAUUCCUUUUUCUGGGCUCUUUACUACUUUCUGCAUACUUAUAACAGUCCACAAGGAAGCCAUUUAUUUACCUGCCUACAUGUCCCAACAAGUUGGAAACGCCAAGUAGUCUCACUAUACUGGCACAAUGCCUAGGCAAGAAGCCCUUACAUAACUAUCUUACACAGAAAUGGGUCAAUGAAUGAACAUUACCCUUUCUUAGUUACUCAUAUCUUUCUAGAAUUGCUAUAGCAUUCACUGAUACAAUCAUCUCUUUUUACUUUCCUUAAUUUGGUGAUGUAAUGAAGCAUGCUGAUAGAUUUCCAGAUAUUGAACUAUCUUUGCAUUUGUGGAAUAAAAUCCUAUCUAGUCACAGCUGCAGUGCCCUCUUUAGCAAUCACUGAUGCAUUAACCUCUUUUUCCCUCCCUUAAUUUGAUGAUGUAAUGAAAUAUGUUGAUAAAGCCUAGAUAUUGAACCAUCUUUGCAUGCCUAGAAUAAAUCCUUUGUUACGGUUGUGUUUUGAUAUAUUAAUGAAUUAACUAGGCUAUUUUAUUUAUAAUUUGUGUACAUAUAAUCAUAAUAAAGAGCAUUUUAUAGCAUUUUUUCUGCCUGUUUUACUUAUCAUGAUUAGGUUUUGAUAGGGGAGUUUUCUCCAACCUCCUCUACUGUCUAGGUUAUUUAAUAACUUCAUUGGAAUUAUCUGGUUUUUUUAAAGGUUAUCCAAAUUCAGCAUAAAGUCAUCUAAAUAUAUCUUCCUUUAACAGACAUUAAUCAUAUUAUCAGUAACUUCUAUGAUAGUAGUAGUAGUUUUCUAUUUAUUCUGAGGUCAUUUUGCAGUACUUUUCUGAUAGAAAUUCACUCCUUUUUUCCUAGGUUUGAUCUCUCCUCUCUCUUAACCAAGCUACUUCUUGUCUAAAAAUGACUUCCAAUGUACUAUGCAUCAAUUUAGAUCAUAAACAUUACUUUCUACUAGUCCUUGAAGGUAAAUCUUGCACUAUAUCCUACAGUUCAAGUUAUAUAUCCUUAUAGUACAAUUCUACAGCAUCUACAUACUGUUGUCACAUAUUCAUCACAUGGUACCCUGCCCAUCUGCUUGCCUUUUUCCCAAACUAAACUCUCAAAUCCUGAGAGUGGAAAUAUUUACCAUUUUAUAAUCCCAGGGCCUACACAUGAUAGGUACUCAAUAAAAAUGUCUGUUAAUUUAAUGAAUGAAUGAAUUUAUUUGCCUGGCACUGGCACUAUAGAUGAAUCAGAUUCCUAUUCUUUACUCAAAGAGCUCAAAGCCUAUUUGAGGAAGAAAUAUUUAUAAAUGUGAAAAGAGAAAGACAGUAACACAGAAAGCACAGAAAAAUCUUGGGGGAUGUCAGAAAAGCUAGCAGAAGCUUGGCAGAGGUAGCCCUUAACCAGGACUUUGAAUGAUGAGUAAAUAAAAGAAAACUGGAGUAACAAGGGCAAAGAUUAGAAAUAAUACUGUGAGCCUGGGUAUGAAGCAAGGCAUUUCUGUAGGACAGGGAUCAGACCAGUGGUACCAAAAUGAGGGAUUCAGGGAGAAUAGUUAGGGGAAAGUUCUAAAAGAUAAUGUGAGUCCUGCCUUUUAAAGGUCUUACAUAAAGAUAAGAUAAAGAUAAGAAGCUAGAGCUUUUAUCCUUGAAUAGGAAGAUAACGAGAGUGAAAAUUCCAGGUACUAAAAAUUAAAUCAUGUAGGAUGGAUCCAAGGAAAGUGAUAAAUCCAAUAGUAUGGACAUAGAGUCCCUGUGGCCCCAGUUCUAGUCUCAGCUAUACUAGUGUGACCUUUACUCAUUUGCAAAAUGAAUACCUGUAAAGUCCCAAUCGGCUCUAAUAUCCUAGAGUGCUUUCUUUCUCUAAAAUCUUAAUUACAGCUCUUCAUUUUGAUAAACGGGUUUGAUGAAACUUCACAAGUUUAAUCAACAGAUGAACUAGCACAUAUUACUGGGGCUUCUUGGCUUCUCAUAGAGACCCAUGUAAACCCAAAGAUAAGCAGUGGUGAGAGCUGGUGUUGCUGGACCAAGAUUCACACUGCUCUUACUUCCCCUCGUUCUAGAUAGGUUUCAUUCGAAGCUCAUAAUCAUCAUGAAAGCAAGAAGUGAAAGGGAAGAUUUCCAGAGAGGCUCUGAGAAUACACAACCACCAUCAGCAGACAGGAAAGCAAGAGCAAUGGCCCUCCUCUAAGCAAGAUGCCUACUGCUAAAGAGAACUGGGGAGCUGCUGCUUCCUCAGCGUUGCUCUUUCAGAAAUUGUCAAAUGCAAACAAUUAAGAAGAACGUAAGAGGUUUCACUUAUCAACUUCUCUGCUGCUCUUCUGUCUUUUCCCCCAGCCAUCCUAAGAAGACUAGAGACUGACAAUAAAUAACAAGUGUUUAUUGAAGAUUUAUUAUAUGUCAAACAAUUUUUCAAUGGCCACACAGUCAUCCCAACUGCCAUAUGAGGUAGCAUUAUCAUUACCCACAUCUAGCAAAUCAAGAAAGAAAGACUGCAAGAGGUUGAAUAACUUGCUCAAGGAUAUACAGCUAACGAACAGCAAAGCUGAAGCUGGGACACAGAUCUUUGACUCCAAAUCUCUCCAGUCUUCACUCUGUAUUACCUCCUUAUUUGGAGAAGAAAGGAAGACACCACAGAUAAAAGGAAAUCAGCACUUAACAGUUGUUUUUGCUCUUAUUAUUUCCAUUCCAGCUCUUGAAUUCUACUUGCCAUAAUGUUUUCUCUAUUCUGUACCCUCAAAUCUAAUCAUAAUAAGCCACAGGACCACAAAGUAAUGAGGCCAAUAGUCAACAGACAAAAAAAAAAAAAAAAAAAUCAAGGCACAA